rnacentral:rRNA from 1 species
GACGAACGCUGGCGGCGUGCUUAACACAUGCAAGUCGAACGGAAAGGCCCUGCGUUUGUGGGGUGCUCGAUUGGCGAACGGGGGAGUAACACGUGAGUAACCUGCCCUUGACUUUGGGAUAACUUCAGGAAACUGGGGCUAAUACCGGAUAGGAGCUCCUGCUGCAUGGUGGGGGUUGGAAAGUGUCGGCGUUUGGGGAUGGUCUCGCGGCUUAUCAGCUUGUUUGUGUGGUAGUGGUUUACCAAGGCUUUGACGGGUAGCCGGCCUGAGAGGGUGACCGGGCACAUUGGGACUGAGAUACGGCGCAGACUCCUACGGGAGGCAGCAGUGGGGAAUAUUGCACAAUGGGGGGAAGCGUGAUGCAGAAACGCCGCGUGCGGGAUGCCGGCCUUCGGGUUGUAAACCGCUUUCGCCUGUGACGAAGCGUGAGUGACGGUAAUGGGUAAAGAAGCACCGGCUAACUACGUG